UCAAAAAAAAAAAAAAAAAAAAAGAGGGGAAAAAACUCCUGAAUUAGAAGAAACUGGACGUUUCCUCAAACUCAGACUUUCACUCUCUGGUUUUUCUUCAUCACUUCCCCGAUCUUUCCUCUCAUUCAUUCACCUCUGUUCACAUUCAGCAGAGCACUGUGUUCUCCGAAUACACCCGGUUUCAGAGGGGUCCAUGAAUGGGAGGCUAGCUCGUGGAGGAUUCGGGAUGUACAAGAGACUGCAACCCGGGUUCGUUCCCAUGUUUCUAUAGCAGCUUUCUAUGAGUCUAGUGUGUUUCUCAUUCAUAAUUGAUGACAUCCAACCGCAGCAUACAUUAACGGAUUGAACAGACCUCAGGAAUUCCCAUGCAAGCUGCAAUUGUGCGUCGCAGGUCUGACUUAAAGCUGCUCAGUUUGUGUCCUCAUAGCUCAAUAAGAACAACUAAAAUGUGCUGCUGUAAAUGAAGAUGUGGGUUGUAUGUCACUGGGACCAGUAAUGCCACUGACAUUUUAAAAAUCAUAGUAUAUAUAUGUAUAAACAGUGCUGUACAAAAGUAUUCAACCCCUUGGAUUUUUGUCACUGGGAUAUUUUGAGAUAGACCAACACAAAGUAGAUUGUAAUUAUGGCAUUCAAUGUUCUUUUCCAAAUUAAAUCUGAAAAGUGUGGCAUGCAUGUGUAUAAAGCCCCCCUAGUAGCUAGAUUUUGCUUUAGUUGCAGCUGUAAGUCUUUUGGGUGACAUUUAUUUGACCAUUUUGACACAUCUAGAGACUAAAAUAUUCAACUUUCAUGUCUUUCAACUGCAGCAAGGUCUGCCGUAGCAGCAGAGUGGAGGAGUUAGCUUUGGUUCCUCAUUGGUUGGCAGCAGGGGCGACAGACAGACCCUCAGGUUGAAUUUAAGAUGACGUGGACUCUUGGACAUGCUUUUUAUAAGGUUGAAUUUAAGAUGACCUGAACUUUUGGACAUGUUUUAUACAAGUGAUAGAUGCCUUCCCAGUGAGUUGCUUCCUGCUUUAAAGGAUGGGAUCCGGUCCAGGUUCUGCAGAGCGUCUAUGACAAACGGCAUCCCAGCUUCUGUGACAUUCUUCCUCCUGACCCUGACAUUACCUCAUUCUCCUCCCCCUUAUCCAGCCACCAUGUGCAACAUAAUCUGUCUGCCUCUUGUUGUUUGCCGUCUUUUUUCUGGCCUUCUCGUCUCGGCCGACAGGAUUCCUCGGUGAAGACGGGAGGGACAAACGUGGGAUAAGCUCAGCUAAAAUUACAAACUGUGUGAAGAGAGAUUCAGAUUGUGGAAGUUUAUAACGACAUGCUGAAUUCAUCCAGUCAUUUUAGAUUAAUAAAGUGUCUAAAACAAGCCUGCUGUUGUUAUCUAAUAUUCAUGUUGAAAUUUUGUCCGUAAUGUGCAGUAUUUUUAAUCUUUUUCCUGUUUUUAUAUGUAAUUUUAAUUCUUUGUGUGAGUCUAUUUGCAGCCAAUAAAUAUAUUCAUAUUCUAUUAUACUACAAACUGUUAUAAUUCCUUUUCUUUAUGAGACAGGUUACACUAAAAUCAUAAUUUAAGUCAGGUUCUUUAAAUUUGGUUCCACUGUAGUCUUUUGAAGUCUAUUAAGUGUUUUAUUAUAUCUUUAUUUAAAUUAUAUUAAGAACAUAAACUUAUGUUUUUUUAUUAUUAUUUUGAGAAGACCUGUAUUUGUGGAACCUUAAUUUAUAUCAUAUAAAUGCUGCACUUUUUAAAUAUUCUAACAGCAUAAGAUGUUAAAAGUUGAAAUCGUGAAACAGUGAAUUAAAUUAGGGAAAACAGAGACGUAAAGAGGAGCGGCAAAAGCAAAUGAGGUGGAUUAGCCACCAUAACAUGCUGCUGUGGAAUAUUUCUACUGCUGAGCUGUUGGCAUGUUCUAAUACUCAUACACCAACCGACUUCAGUCAGAGGCUUCUUCAGAUUAACUGCAAGACUGACUGCUGCUGGAGAUCCUUCCUGCCUGCAGCAUCACCAUCAACUCUUUGAAUGUAUGUUUGGUAUUAAUAAAGUGUUUUUGAAAUUGGA